rnacentral:rRNA from 1 species
GACGAACGCUGGCGGCGUGCUUAACACAUGCAAGUCGAACGGAAAGGCCCUGCUUUUGUAGGGUGCUCGAGCGGCGAACGGGUGAGUAACACGUGAGUAACCUGCCCUUGACUUUGGGAUAACUUCAGGAAACUGGGGCUAAUACCGGAUAGGAGCUCCUGCUGCAUGGUGGGGGUUGGAAAGUUUCGGCGGUUGGGGAUGGACUCGCGGCUUAUCAGCUUGUUGGUGGGGUAGUGGCUUACCAAGGCUUUGACGGGUAGCCGGCCUGAGAGGGUGACCGGCCACAUUGGGACUGAGGUACGGCCCAGACUCCUACGGGAGGCAGCAGUGGGGAAUAUUGCACAAUGGGCGGAAGCCUGAUGCAGCAACGCCGCGUGCGGGAUGACGGCCUUCGGGUUGUAAACCGCUUUCGCCUGUGACGAAGCGUGAGUGACGGUAAUGGGUAAAGAAGCACCGGCUAACUACGUG